rnacentral:lncRNA from 1 species
UGACACCAAACACACCCAAAUUAAAUCUGUUUUAGCAUUUCAUUCAGAGUUUUCUUCUUGAUUCUUAUGUCAUACAGUUAAUUUGUUGACAAUGUUUAAACUACCAUCUGGGGUUGACUUAAGGCUCUAAUUUAUUAUCAACAGUUUAGUCCUUAUAGGAAUCUCUUGAGAUUCAAAUCACACACCAAUGAUUCUUUCUUUUGAAGUUGUUUCUUGUUGAAUGGAUGUGGUAUCUUGUCUGGGUAACCCAUAGAGAUAAAUGGAAACACAUACAAGAAGAGCUCCCAGUGUAAAUGAAAGUGCUGAAAAGAGAAGGAAAAAAAACUAUAAAAAUGGUGAACUUAUAUAGGGCUCACAUGAGCGCGCGCGCGCACACACACACACACACACACACACACACACACACACACACGACAACAUGGGGUAUCAUCCUUAAGAAUGCUACCUAUCUCUUUUAAGGCAGGAAGACAGGAUCUCUCAGUAGCCUGUAGUCCACCAAUUAAGUUAGACUGCGUAGCCAACAAACCCCAGGGAUCUGGGUUUCCAUCUCCCAGUGCCAGCACCACAAGCAUGUACCAGCACACUGGGCAUCUGUCUGUAAGCUCUGGAGAACCUCAGGUCCUCAUGCCUUUUACUGACGAGCCAUCUCCCAUCCUAAAAUCUCUGUCACUGUGGGUCUGCACUACCAGGUUGCAUGACUGCUAUUUUCUAAAUAGAAAGAUUGUCUAUUUAAGGAAAAAGAUAAAUAUCAAGGGAAUGAUAACAUACUUUUCAAAAACAUAAUUAAGCCUGUCUUGGACUGAUAAAACAAAAGGAUAUAUUAGUUCCCGUAUACUAUUUAUAAUUAAAGGAAACAGGUAAUAUAAUAUAUAUAUGAGUAGAAAAAUAAAAUGCAGUAUGAUUUGGUUUUGUUAUGAUCCCAGAAAACUUAGUAUAAAAGACAGUCACACAAUUCAGUUUCCUAAAACUAGUGAUUCAAGCCACUGAAAAUUCCCAGAUAGGUGGUCAGGUGAUGAUUACCUUUCCUGCUGCCCUUGACUCUUUUCCAUGUUACUCCUGAAAAUCAGGGUACACAAACCGCGUGUGAAGGCUAGCGUGCCUGCUGCACAAGCUUGAGUCCCCAGCACAUGUAUAAAAUGGGCACAGUGACACACAGGGAGCAGGGACAGCUAGUCUAGCAGGAUCAGUGUAGGCCUGCUUAGAAAUGAAGGGAGUGACUGACCAGACAUCCGGCAUUCACCCACAUGUACCCACACACCAAAAAGAAACAAAAACAAAAAGAUAAUAGUAAAACCCUUCGAUGACCUAAAUGUAUAAGUAGUGUGUACAUGACUCCUAAUGCCACAGCUCUAUAUCUGACAUAGAACCAGACUAUAUUCUAUGUAUGUGAACUACAGUACAAUGGCCCAGUACUGAUAGCUUUAGAAACUGGCAUGUAGACAGCAAGGACAGUGCUGCAUGCUUGCAAUCCCAAGGCAGGUGGUUCAGGAGUUCAGGUAACCAGCUGCACAGUGAGUCACACCAAUCUGAGUGACACCAGAUAGCCCCCACCCCUAACAGGCAUGUAAAGAGACAGCAUCAACCCACUGUUUUAGUCCACCUAUUAGAAAGACCAGCUCUGAGAGCAAAGUGUGAGGCAGUUUACAUCUUAACACCUCAGGAGUUACCGGAAAGACUGCUGAGACAGAAACAUUUUAUAUCCUUCCCAAGUUUUCCUCAGGAGCAGACACAAGGCUUAUAUGGCUGUAUUAGAACUACAGUUAAGAGUUUACCCAAGGGGCUGGAGAGAUGGCUCAGCGGUUAAGAGCACCCGACUGCUCUUCCAGAGGUCAUGAGUUCAAUUCCCAGCAACCACAUGGUGGCUCACAACCAUCUGUAAAGAGAUCCGAUGCCCUCUUCUGGUGUAUCUGAAGACAGCUACAGUGUACUGAUAUAUAAUAAAUAAAUAAAUCUUUAAAA